rnacentral:tRNA from 1 species
GGGGACGUAGCUCAGUUGGGAGAGCGCCUGCUUUGCAAGCAGGAGGUCGCCGGUUCGAUCCCGGCCGUCUCCA